AGGAUGAACGCUAGCUACAGGCUUAACACAUGCAAGUCGAGGGGUAACAUGAUUGGAGCUUGCUCCGAUUGAUGACGACCGGCGCACGGGUGAGUAACGCGUAUCCAACCUGCCCCAUGCUCAGGGAUAACCUUCCGAAAGGGAGCCUAAUACCUGAUGUUGUGCUUUGAUGGCAUCAGACGAGCACGAAAGAUUCAUCGGCAUGGGAUGGGGAUGCGUCUGAUUAGCUUGUUGGCGGGGUAACGGCCCACCAAGGCUACGAUCAGUAGGGGUUCUGAGAGGAAGGUCCCCCCACACUGGUACUGAGACACGGACCAGACUCCUACGGGAGGCAGCAGUGAGGAAUAUUGGUCAAUGGGCGGGAGCCUGAACCAGCCAAGUAGCGUGCAGGACGACGGCCCUACGGGUUGUAAACUGCUUUUAUGAGGGGAUAAAGUGGGCUACGUGUAGCUUAUUGCAGGUACCUCAUGAAUAAGGACCGGCUAAUUCCGUGCCAGCCGCGGC
rnacentral:rRNA from 1 species